GUUUUAGAAAUGAUUCCAAAAACAGACAGAAACAGCAAAGUAAUUGCAGCAACAAAUAUGAUUUUGAAAAAAAAAUGUGAUUGUGCUUAUAUAACAACUGUUCUAUUAAGAACAGUGUUAAUAGGUUGUAAACUGCAGUUCAAUAAUUUACAAUUAUUAUCAAAAUGGUGCAUCUAUUAACUGUUUCUCUCUUUGCAAUCUUAUGCAUUAAUAUUGUUCUUGGAUAUACAUACAAUGGAGUAGAAUAUACAGUUGAUAGAGAAUUAGCAACUGAAAGUUACCAGCAACGUCAGGCCAGACCCUUCGGGCAAAGAGAUUGCAACAUGCCAGCAGAAGAACAAAACAGUAUCCUAGUUUGUCUCCCUCGGAGAAGAGUUUGGACAUGGAGUAUAGUCAACAAUGAAUGUGUUACCGAAAGAACUAUCGGAUGUUCCAGUACUAAGACUAAGAACAACUUCGCAACGGAGGCACAAUGCCUACAAGUUGCCAAACCAAUAUGUGGUCACUAAGGCGCCAAAUAGAGGUCACCGUGUCCUUUUCAAUUCUGAUAGACAAACUCAACGGUUUCUUAUGGAUUUUUGGCUGCUGAUUACGAAUUUCGAUCAGUGGUCAAAAAAUUGUUAUAAACAAUUUAAUUGUUUAUAAAUUAUUUAUAAGGCUCUGGCUCAUAAACUAAAAGAGAUAAAAAAGAUUGUUUAAAAUUGGUUCGUUAAUAAAAAAAACGAAGAAAAAAACGUUUACUAAACUUAAAUCCAACAAUUAGAACUCAAGAUAUUGUAAAAUUAGUGCACAAUGCGAAAUAAGUAUUUUUCGAAGCUUUAUCGAUCGUAACUCGGCUUUUAAGCAUGCAAAUGAGCCUUAAAAGGUCUCAUUUUAAAGCUUCAUUAAUAGGCUUCCAAACAGACUUUGUUAAAUUACUUGAUCUUCAUUUGUUGUAAAGUUAUACAUAUCCAUUUGAAGUAAUAAUUUUCUUAAAAAAUUGUACAUUAAUUUGUUUAUAAGGGUCUGAAGCAAAUUUAAGCUAUAAACAUUUAUAAUUUAAUUAACAAUAAUGAUAGAAGAACUCAAAAGGAACAUUUUGAGCUUACGAAAAUGUUUGUAAGUUUAUUUUUGGCCAAGAUAUCGAUAUUUUAAUAGUGCGCUCUGAGGCACAAGAUCGGCUCACCGCGUAAAGGUUCACGCGCUAACUACUCGAUGCAAAUUAUAAUUUCUAUGUAUACAGGGUGAUUGAUUAGUAGGGUAAAGCUCAAUAGCUCCGCUAUAGAUAGCAAUAAAAGUUAAUAACAAAAAUUUUAGCCACCUUUGAGCUUCACAUUACAAAAUUAGUUAGAAUGUUACAGGGUGUUCGAUAACACAGUGGCAGACCUAACUUAUGUUUUUUUUAAAUAGAACACCCUAUAUUUUAUUUUAUAUUCGAAAUCCUGUUAACUUCUCCAUCACAAAAAUAUAAGGUUUGUAAUGUUAUACAGGGUAUUUACAAAGUUAUAACCAAUUUUGUAUGAAAAUCGUAACAAGUUCGACUCCCUGUAUAAAUAAAAAUAAGCACAACAGCAAUGGUUUAUUAAUGCCAUAUUUUUUUAUUUAUUGUCGAAAUUUUUAAGAAUUAUUGAUAUUGCUAAUUUUCUUUAUAUCAAAUACAGGGUGAGUCAAAACGCAACGUACUUUAAUGUUUUUAUAACAUUCCCUAUGCCCAAAUUUAUUAGUUUUCGAGAUAUUUUUAUUUUUCACAGCAGAUUAUUUUAGGUGUUUAAAUUGAUCUAAAUUUUAAGUAAGACAUGACUGAAUAGACAAUUGAAGAUUAUCGUAUUUUUUUAUGUAAAUGCAACAAAUAAACAAAGAAAAUUAGUAAAAAAUUUUACAAGAAAAAUACACAAACACAAAAUACAACAUUUUGUGAAGACAAUUAAACAUUACUUUUGUAUGUAAAUCUAACAAUGUAACAAAUAAAGAACGAAAAAUAAUUUAUCAGUAAUACAUUUUGCAAAAAAAAACAUGUUUGAAAAAAUUAGAAGCUACUUUUAAUAAAAUAUUUUUAAUAUUUAAUUACAUAAGGAGUUCAAAAUUACCUCCUAACACAUUUAUGCACCCCUAAAAACGAUCGUUGACUGAGCUACGUACUCUACAAGGCAUUUGUAAAUUAACACAUCGAAAUACACUUUGUAUUCUAUUUUUCAUUAAUCCCUUGUUAUUGGAGGUAUUUUAUAAACUUCAUUAUUAACGUAACCCCAAAAAAAUCAGUUCAGUUUAUUAAAUUCUGGUGAUUUGGGUAGCCACGCUACUGGUCCAUUCAAAAAUGAAAAUAUCUCGAAAACUAAUAAAUUUAGACAUAGGGAAUGUUUCUAAAAAUUAAAGUACGGUAACGGUACUUUUCAAUAGUGAUAUAAAAUACAGGGUGUUCCAUUUAAAAUUACUGAGAAAAUAAUGUACAUACUUGCGUUUUGACUCAACCUGUAUUUGAUAUAAAGAAAAUUAGCAAUAUCGACCAUUCUUGAAAAUUUUGACAAUGCGUUAAAAAAUAUGGCAUUAAUAAACCAUUGUUGUUUUGCUUAUUUUUAUUUAUACAGGGAGUUGAACUUGUUACGAUUUUCAUUAAAAUUGGUUAUAACUUUGUAAAUACCCUGUAUAACAUAACAAACCUUUAUAUUUUUGUGAUGGAGAAGUUAACAGGAUUUCGAAUUUAAAAUUAAAUAUAGGGUGUUCCAUUUAAAAAAAAACAUAAGUUUGGUCUGCCACUGUGUUAUCGAACACCCUGUAACAUUUUAACUAAUUUUGUAAUGUGAAGCUCAAAGGUGGCUAAAAUUUUUGUUAUUAACUUUUAUUGCUAUCUAUUACUAUAGCGGAGCUAUUGAGCUUUACCCUACUAAUCAAUCACCCUGUAUAUACGUUAUCUUCAUUUUUCAUUUUUGAAGACCCUAAUAAAAUUUUAUCAUAUAAUUCUUACAAUUAAAUCACCACACUGUAAACUCGCAUCACCUUUCAUUCUAUUUACUGUCUUCUAUUUUUUGUACUAAAUGAGGAAAAAACAUUAAAAACUAAUAUUUCAGAAAUAGAACUAAAAAGUAAGUUGAUAUUAUUUAUUAAUACUAUUUUUAAAAACUUUUUGUUUCAUGCAUCUGUAUCGAGAUAUACAGGAAUCUCAGCUUUUUUACAUCUGCAUAAGUUCUUAGAGCAAUUUUUACAGUUACAUGGUGGUACUAAGUCUGUUCUUGUACGCAGUAAAACUAAAACUUUCUGUGGCUUCAGAGUCUAAUUAUCUAUAUGAUAUAGAUAUAAUCUAUAUCAUAUAGAUAUCCAGUGGAUAGUGGAUAGUAUCCAUAUAAAGUGGAUCUAGUUCUUUUGCAUCAUCAUCAAGGCACGUCAAUUGUGUGUAUGCCGCCAAAACAUAAAUGCUCGUUUUAUAUGCAAUGAUGAUGCUGCAAAAUAACUCGAUCCAUUUUUAUAUGGAUAUCACAUAUUGGCUCAUUUGUAAGCGUAGAAGUUAAGUUACGAUCGAUAAAGCUUCGAAAAAUACUUACCCGUUGUCCUAGGUGAGCGACGGAAAACGACGCGACGCGAUGCGAUGCGUUGCGAUGCGAUGCGAUGCGAUGCGACCAGUAAUUCACGCGACGUGUGGCUUAUGUAGCGUCGCAUCGCGUCGCUUUCCCUCACUCAAACCAGGACAAACGUGACGAUGUCAAUUAUUCAUUCCUAUUCUUAAGUGUGGGGAAGUAUACGGCAGUGUUACUGGAAAAUUCAUAUUUUAAAUACUUAGCUCAAAAAUUCCAUAAACGAAAAAGAAAGACAACAAAUGUCAUAUAUUUAGAACGAGUAUAUUUGGAGAGUUUAAUCAUUUAUAUCCGAAAUUAAUGAAAUAAUCCACGUUGAAUUAAAGAGUAUUGAGGCUUAUUCAUUUUCGAUUAUAUCAUUGCAGCUGUUAAACUCAGUAUUAAUAAUAUUGAGCUAUCAAUAACUAUCAAUAAGUAAUUUUCAAAAACCAAAUUCUCUUGAGGAGAGGUUGUUACUGACUUUAAGGUAUGUUAAUAAAAAAACACUGGUACUAUAUAUGUAGUUAUUAUUAGUUUUUAUUUAUUUAAUAAACUAUUGCGUAGCAUAAUUUGAAUUGAAAAAAGCAAUGGGGCGUCACACUGUGUCGUGUUUCGUCGCGAACAAAUCAAGUUCGCACUUCGUCGCGUCUUGUCGUACACUGAUUAACCCGAAAACGUAGGCCAUACACAAAUACAACCAUUACUUGAUAUUUUCGCGUCGCGUCGCGUCGUGUCGCGUUGUCGCGUUUGUCGUUCACCUAGGACAACGGGUUAUUUUGCAAUUUGCAAUUUGUAUUGUGCACUAAUUUUACAAUAUCUUGAGAUCUAAUUGUUGGAUUUAAGUUUAGUAAACUUUUUUUUCUUCGUUUUUUAUUAACGAACAAAUUUUAUUUGAAACAUUAUUUUUUAUCUCUUUUAGUUUAUGAGCCAAAGCCUUAUAAACAAUUAAAUUGUUUAUAACAAUUUUUUGACCACUCGGAUAGAAAUCCACCCUCGAAAUUCGUAAUCAGCAGCCAAAAAUCCAUAAGAAACCGUGGAGUUUGUCCAUCAGAAUUAAAAAGGACACGGUGACCCCUCUGGCGCCUAGACUAUUUGUCUGUAAUAUAUUUUUUCUACGAGCGUGCAAAAAUGUCUACUUUCGCGCACGCAUUUUAGUUUAGAAAGUUUCACUUUUCCGCACGCGUGUUACUUUUCCGCACGCGUUUUUUACUUUUCCGCACGCGUGUUAAUUUAGAUAUGUUAAUAUGGCUUUAAAUUAAUUAUAAUACAUGCAAUAAACUAAUAUUUAGAUAUUA